AUGAACGCUGGCGGCGUGCUUAACACAUGCAAGUCGAACGAUGAAGCCCAGCUUGCUGGGUGGAUUAGUGGCGAACGGGUGAGUAACACGUGAGUAACCUGCCCUUAACUCUGGGAUAAGCCUGGGAAACUGGGUCUAAUACCGGAUAGGAGCGUCCACCGCAUGGUGGGUGUUGGAAAGAUUUAUCGGUUUUGGAUGGACUCGCGGCCUAUCAGCUUGUUGGUGAGGUAAUGGCUCACCAAGGCGACGACGGGUAGCCGGCCUGAGAGGGUGACCGGGCACACUGGGACUGAGACACGGCCCAGACUCCUACGGGAGGCAGCAGUGGGGAAUAUUGCACAAUGGGCGCAAGCCUGAUGCAGCGACGCCGCGUGAGGGAUGACGGCCUUCGGGUUGUAAACCUCUUUCAGUAGGGAAGAAGCGAAAGUGACGGUACCUGCAGAAGAAGCACCGGCUAACUACGUG
rnacentral:rRNA from 1 species